AGCGUAGACGGUGUGGCAAGUCUGAUGUGAAAGGCAUGGGCUCAACCUGUGGACUGCAUUGGAAACUGUCAUACUUGAGUGCCGGAGGGGUAAGCGGAAUUCCUGGUGUAGCGGUGAAAUGCGUAGAGAUCAGGAGGAACAUCAGUGGCGAAGGCGGCUUACUGGACUGAUACUGACACUGAGGUGCGAAAGCGUGGGGAGCAAACA
rnacentral:rRNA from 1 species